UACAGAGGGUGCAAGCGUUGUUCGGAAUUAUUGGGCGUAAAGAGUAUGUAGGCGGCCUAGUAAGUCAGUUGUGAAAGCCCCGGGCUCAACCCGGGAAGUGCAAUUGAUACUGCUUGGCUUGAAUGUGGAAGAGGGCGGUAGAAUUCCAGGUGUAGUGGUGAAAUACGUAGAUAUCUGGAGGAAUACCGGUGGCGAAGGCGGCUGCCUGGUCCUACAUUGACGCUGAGAUACGAAAGCGUGGGGAGCAAACAGG
rnacentral:rRNA from 1 species